rnacentral:rRNA from 1 species
UACGAAGGGUGCUAGCGUUGUUCGGAAUUACUGGGCGUAAAGCGCGCGCAGGCGGCUUUCCAAGUCAGAGGUGAAAUCCCGGGGCUUAACCCCGGAAUUGCCUUUGAAACUGGUUGGCUUGAGUGUCGGAGGGGAUAGCGGAAUUUCUAAUGUAGCGGUGAAAUGCGUAGAUAUUAGAAGGAACACCGGUGGCGAAGGCGGCUAUCUGGACGACAACUGACGCUGAGGCGCGAAAGCGCGGGGAUCAAACAGG